rnacentral:rRNA from 1 species
GACGAACGCUGGCGGCGUGCCUAACACAUGCAAGUCGAGCGAGUUAAUCUCCUUCGGGAGUGAAACUAGCGGCGGACGGGUGAGUAACACGUGGCCAACCUACCUCAUAGAGGGGAAUAGCCUUCCGAAAGGAAGAUUAAUACCGCAUAAGAUUGUAGCUACGCACGAAGUAGCAAUUAAAGGAGCAAUCCGCUAUGAGAUGGGCCCGCGGCGCAUUAGAUAGGUGGGGAGGUAACGGCUCACCAAGGCCACGAUGCGUAGCCGACCUGAGAGGGUGAUCGGCCACAUUGGGACUGGGACACGGCCCAGACUCCUACGGGAGGCAGCAGUGGGGAAUAUUGCACAAUGGGGGAAACCCUGAUGCAGCAACGCCGCGUGAGUGAUGACGGCCUUCGGGUUGUAAAGCUCUGUCUUCAGGGACGAUAAUGACGGUACCUGAGGAGGAAGCCACGGCUAACUACGUGCCAGCCGCCGCAGUAACAC